CCCUUAGAUGUUCUGGGCCGCACGCGUGCUACACUGAGUGGAUCAGCGGGCCAGGUUGCGCGAAAGCGUUUCCUAAUCUUUAAAUCCGCUCGUGAUGGGGAUUGACGGUUGCAAUUUUCUGUCAUGAACGAGGAAUACCUUGUAAGCGCGGGUCAUCAUCCCGCGCUGAAUACGUCCCUGCCCUUUGUACACACCGCCCGUCGCUCCUACCGAUUGAGUGGUCCAGUGAGGCUUUGGGAUCUGAGCGGAAAGAGCGUUUCGCUGUUUCUGCUCGGAAAACUCAGUCGAACCUUAUCAUUUAGAGGAAGGAGAAGUCGUAACA
rnacentral:rRNA from 1 species